GACGAACGCUGGCGGCGUGCUUAACACAUGCAAGUCGAGCGGUAAGGCCCUUUCGGGGGUACACGAGCGGCGAACGGGUGAGUAACACGUGGGUGACCUGCCCUUAGCUCUGGGAUAAGCCUGGGAAACUGGGUCUAAUACCGGAUAUGACUCCAUAACGCAUGUUGUGGGGUGGAAAGCCUUGUGCGGCUAGGGAUGGGCCCGCGGCCUAUCAGCUUGUUGGUGGGGUGAUGGCCACCAAGGCGACGACGGGUAGCCGGCCUGAGAGGGCGACCGGCCACACUGGGACUGAGACACGGCCCAGACUCCUACGGGAGGCAGCAGUGGGGAAUCUUGCGCAAUGGCGAAAGCCUGACGCAGCGACGCCGCGU
rnacentral:rRNA from 1 species